rnacentral:sRNA from 1 species
GCUGGGUGCAGUAGCUUACACCUGUAAUCCCAGCACUUUGGGAAGCCGAGGCAGAUGGAUUGCUUGAGGUCAGGAGUUCGAGACCAGCCUGGCCGACAUGGUGAAACCCCAUCUCUACUAAAAAUACAAAAAUUAGCUGGACUUGGUGGCGGGCGCCUGUAAUUCCAGCUACUCAGGAGGCUGAGGCAGGAGAAUCACUUGAACCUGGGAGGUGGAGGUUGCAGUGAGCCAAGAUGGCGCCACUGCACUCAAGCCUGGGCAACACAGUGAGACUCUGUCUCA